UACGAGGGUGGCAAGCGUUGUUCGGAAUUAUUGGGCGUAAAGGGCGCGUAGGCGGUCUGAUAAGUCUUGUGUGAAAUCUCUGGGCUCAACCCAGAGUCUGCACAGGAAACUGUCGGGCUUGAGUAUGGGAGAGGUGCGUGGAAUUUCCGGUGUAGCGGUGAAAUGCGUAGAUAUCGGAAGGAACACCUGUGGCGAAAGCGACGCACUGGACCAAAACUGACGCUGAGGCGCGAAAGCUAGGGGAGCAAACAGG
rnacentral:rRNA from 1 species